GUGAUGGAGGUAGAUAUGUAUAGGGGGAAGGAGACAGGGAUACUGGAGUGAUGGAGGUAGAUAUGUAUAGGGGGAAGGAGACAGGUAUACUGGAGUGAUGGAGGUAGAUAUGUAUAGGGGGAAGGGGACAGGGAUACUGGAGUGAUGGAGGUAGAUAUGUAUAGGGGGAAGGAGACAGGGAUACUGGAGUGAUGGAGGUAGAUAUGUAUAGGGGGAAG